rnacentral:misc_RNA from 1 species
UUCCAUGAAGGCGACCAUCGGCGAGAGAUUGGCGGGAUCGAGCGCCCGCCUCCAUGACGUGAUGAAAUGAUCGGCGACGACCGGGUUGCCGCUGGCGUAGGUGGCUCCCUCGCGGAGGG